CCCAUGAAUCACCUGGCGUGUAUUGGAUUUUGAAAUUCAACCAGCAACGCAUACUGUCAUUUCAAGAAACUUGGUUCAUCAAAUCUGCAAAAAGAAGAGUGAACUUGAAGAAAAGUAUAUGUAUAAUUCUUUAUAUGUAUUACCAGCAAAAUAUGAAAUCCAGUAUUCUAUAGAAUGCCCAAGCAUUGUAUAUAAUGCCUAAAACAAGCCAGUAAUGUAUGAAACAAUUUGUAUUUCAUACAUUUUCUAAGCAUUCUAUAGAAUGCCAAAUGACAACCUGGCAAAGUAUGAAAUACAUCUCUCAUUCAAUGAAAUAAAAAUUUUGUGCAACCUUUGUUUCAAAACUGAAAAUGCAAUUAAAGAUAAAAUAAAUUUUAAAAUUGAUCUAUAAAUAUAAACAAAAAAAAAAUUCUCAAUAUUUUUUUGGAAACUACUGUGCAAGUUUCUAUUCCUGACUUAAAGAAAGAGCAAAAUAUUGGAAGUUAUAAUUAAUGUGACGGAGUAUGGUUUCUACCUACUUGGAACAUCAGAAGGAAAUUUAAAACAAUUAUAUGUCCCAAUUCACUUUAUAUCCUAAGAACUUGUUUAGAAUUGAAGAUAUUCCAAAUCAGAAAAUUUCUCUCUGGUCAGUUGCAAUUACUCAGAGCAGUGGAAGCAAUCAAGGAUUUAUCAGAUGUAUGUGUUUAAGUGCCAAAAUAUGUAAUGUCUUUUCGUGAAAAAUGUAGUAAAACUUCAAAAUGUUGCAAUGUGAUAGGCUUGAAUGACAAGUAGGUAAAUUUUAAUUUCUGAUUUUUUUAUCUGAAAACUUAUUUGCCUUAAUUAGAAAGGCAUAAAUUUUGUUUUGUACAAAUUUUAUUUUUCUAUAUAAUUUGAAUAAAUUUUUUUAAUGGCAACCUCA